AACGAACGCUGGCGGCAGGCUUAACACAUGCAAGUCGAGCGCCCCGCAAGGGGAGCGGCAGACGGGUGAGUAACGCGUGGGAACGUACCCUUUGCUACGGAAUAGCUCCGGGAAACUGGAAUUAAUACCGUAUGUGCCCUACGGGGGAAAGAUUUAUCGGCAAAGGAUCGGCCCGCGUUGGAUUAGCUAGUUGGUGGGGUAAUGGCCUACCAAGGCGACGAUCCAUAGCUGGUCUGAGAGGAUGAUCAGCCACAUUGGGACUGAGACACGGCCCAAACUCCUACGGGAGGCAGCAGUGGGGAAUAUUGGACAAUGGGCGCAAGCCUGAUCCAGCCAUGCCGCGUGAGUGAUGAAGGCCUUAGGGUUGUAAAGCUCUUUCACCGGUGAGGAUAAUGACGGUAACCGGAGAAGAAGCCCCGGCUAACUUCGUGCCAGCCGCCGCGGUAAUAC
rnacentral:rRNA from 1 species